GAUGAACGCUGGCGGCGUGCCUAAUACAUGCAAGUCGAGCGAACGGGCGAGAAGCUUGCUUUUCUGAUGUUAGCGGAGGACGGGUGAGUCACACGUGGAUAACCUACCUAUAAGACUGGGAUAACUUCGGGAAACCGGAGCUAAUACCGGAUAAUAUUUUGAACCGCAUGGUUGAAAAGUGAAAGACGGUCUUGCUGUCACUUAUAGAUGGAUCCGCGCUGCAUGAGCUAGUUGGUAAGGUAACGGCUUACCAAGGCAACGAUGCAUAGCCGACCUGACAGGGGGAUCGGCCACACUGGAACGGAGACACGGUCCAGACGCCUACGGGAGGCAGCAGUAGGGAAUCUUCCGCAAUGGGCGAAAGCCUGACGGAGCAACGCCGCGUGAGUGAUGAAGGUCUUCGGAUCGUAAAACUCUGUUAUUAGUGAAGAACAUAUGUGUAAGUAACUGUGCACAUCGUGACGGUACCUAAUCAGAAAGCCACGGCUAACUACGUG
rnacentral:rRNA from 1 species